rnacentral:rRNA from 1 species
GCCCUACGGGGUGCAGCAGGCGCGAAAACUUUACAAUGCUGGCAACAGCGAUAAGGGAACCUCGAGUGCCAGGUUACAAAUCUGGCUGUCGAGAUGCCUAAAAAGCAUUUCAUAGCAAGGGCCGGGCAAGACCGGUGCCAGCCGCCGCGGUAACACCGGCGGCUCGAGUGGUAACCGUUAUUAUUGGGUCUAAAGGGUCUGUAGCCGGCCGGAUAAGUCUCUUGAGAAAUCUGGCAGCUUAACUGUCAGGCUUUCAGGAGAUACUGUCUGGCUCGAGGCCGGGAGAGGUGAGAGGUACUUCAGGGGUAGGGGUGAAAUCUUGUAAUCCUUGAAGGACCACCAGUGGCGAAGGCGUCUCACCAGAACGGACCUGACGGCAAGGGACGAAAGCUAGGGGCACGAACCGGAUUAGAUACCCGGGUAGUCCUAGCCGUAAACGAUACUCGCUAGGUGUCGGCCACGGUGCGACCGUUGUCGGUGCCGUAGGGAAGCCGUGAAGCGAGCCACCUGGGAAGUACGGCCGCAAGGCUGAAACUUAAAGGAAUUGGCGGGGGAGCACCACAACGUGUGGAGCUUGCGGUUUAAUUGGAUUCAACGCCGGAAAUCUUAC